GAUGAACGCUGGCGGCGUGCCUAAUACAUGCAAGUCGAGCGAACGGACGAGAAGCUUGCUUCUCUGAUGUUAGCGGCGGACGGGUGAGUAACACGUGGAUAACCUACCUAUAAGACUGGGAUAACUUCGGGAAACCGGAGCUAAUACCGGAUAAUAUUUUGAACCGCAUGGUUCAAAAGUGAAAGACGGUCUUGCUGUCACUUAUAGAUGGAUCCGCGCUGCAUUAGCUAGUUGGUAAGGUAACGGCUUACCAAGGCAACGAUGCAUAGCCGACCUGAGAGGGUGAUCGGCCACACUGGAACUGAGACACGGUCCAGACUCCUACGGGAGGCAGCAGUAGGGAAUCUUCCGCAAUGGGCGAAAGCCUGACGGAGCAACGCCGCGCGAGUGAUGAAGGUCUUCGGAUCGUAAAACUCUGUUAUUAGGGAAGAACAUAUGUGUAAGUAACUGUGCACAUCUUGACGGUACCUAAUCAGAAAGCCACGGCUAACUACGUGCCAGCAGCCGCGGUAAUACGUAGGUGGCAAGCGUUAUCCGGAAUUAUUGGGCGUAAAGCGCGCGUAGGCGGUUUUUUAAGUCUGAUGUGAAAGCCCACGGCUCAACCGUGGAGGGUCAUUGGAAACUGGAAAGCUUGAGUGCAGAAGAGGAAAGUGGAAUUCCAUGUGUAGCGGUGAAAUGCGCAGAGAUAUGGAGGAACACCAGUGGCGAAGGCGACUUUCUGGUCUGUAACUGACGCUGAUGUGCGAAAGCGUGGGGAUCAAACAGGAUUAGAUACCCUGGUAGUCCACGCCGUAAACGAUGAGUGCUAAGUGUUAGGGGGUUUCCGCCCCUUAGUGCUGCAGCUAACGCAUUAAGCACUCCGCCUGGGGAGUACGACCGCAAGGUUGAAACUCAAAGGAAUUGACGGGGACCCGCACAAGCGGUGGAGCAUGUGGUUUAAUUCGAAGCAACGCGAAGAACCUUACCAAAUCUUGACAUCCUUUGACAACUCUAGAGAUAGAGCCUUCCCCUUCGGGGGACAAAGUGACAGGUGGUGCAUGGUUGUCGUCAGCUCGUGUCGUGAGAUGUUGGGUUAAGUCCCGCAACGAGCGCAACCCUUAAGCUUAGUUGCCAUCAUUAAGUUGGGCACUCUAAGUUGACUGCCGGUGACAAACCGGAGGAAGGUGGGGAUGACGUCAAAUCAUCAUGCCCCUUAUGAUUUGGGCUACACACGUGCUACAAUGGACAAUACAAAGGGCAGCGAAACCGCGAGGUCAAGCAAAUCCCAUAAAGUUGUUCUCAGUUCGGAUUGUAGUCUGCAACUCGACUACAUGAAGCUGGAAUCGCUAGUAAUCGUAGAUCAGCAUGCUACGGUGAAUACGUUCCCGGGUCU
rnacentral:rRNA from 1 species